CGUUUAGGGGUAAACCUGAGAAACCCGAAAGGUCGAAGGAAGAAAUUCAUUCGUGCCCGAUAAGGUUAUUGUAUGGUUUAUGGUGUCGAAAAAUAUUCAUUUAUUUUUUGCCCUGCUGUACAAUAUAUGUACCUUAUUGGAGGCGUGCACUUUUCUUCUGGUAGGACGUUGCGAUCCGUUGGGUGUUGAUCUAUGGCUUGGUAGGUAGACCUUGAAGAUGGAUUUUUAAUUUAUUCUUUAAGGACCACUGAUGCUUGGUCAACUUGCCCGAUGGUAUAAUGAGAAAAAACGGUUUUCGGUCGCUCAUAAAUAUGAAGCGUUCGGCUUGUAACAAGCGCGUCAAAUGUUUUGGAUUUCGGACCUAGUGCCGUGUCUGAUCCUUGACGUCUGUUGGUUACAUUGUCUCGGACAGGCCGAUAAUGAAAAAACCGAUCUGCAACGAUAUAGCUUUGGGUACUUUCAGGACCCGUCUUGAAACACGGACCAAGGAGUCUAGCAUGUACGCAAGUCAUUGGGAAUUACAAAACCUAAAGGCACAAUGAAAGUAAACGUUUAUCUUUACGGUGAACGAUGGGAAGAUGGGCGUUUAUUACUUGUAAUAGCGUUCCGCAUUCCCGGGGCGUCUCAUUCUCAUUACGAGAAGAGGCGCACCAGGAGCGUACAUGCUGGGACCCGAAAGAUGGUGAACUAU
rnacentral:rRNA from 1 species